rnacentral:rRNA from 1 species
CCUACGGGCGGCAGCAGUGGGGGAUAUUGCACAAUGGGGGGAACCCUGAUGCAGCGACGCCGCGUGGGUGAAGAAGCGCCUCGGCGCGUAAAGCCCUGUCAGCAGGGAAGAAAAUGACGGUACCUGAAGAAGAAGCCCCGGCUAACUACGUGCCAGCAGCCGCGGUAAUACGUAGGGGGCAAGCGUUAUCCGGAUUUACUGGGGGUAAAGGGGGCGCAGGCGGGGUUGCAAGGCAGGAGUGAAAGCCCGGGGGCCAACCCCGGGACUGCUUUUGGAACUGCGUGGCUGGAGUGCAGGAGGGGCAGGCGGAAUUCCUGGUGUAGCGGUGAAAUGCGUAGAUAUCAGGAGGAACACCGAUGGCGAAGGCGGCUUGCUGGACUGCAACUGACGUUGAGGCCCGAAAGCGUGGGGAGCAAACAGGAUUAGAUACCCGGGUAGUC